rnacentral:rRNA from 1 species
ACACGCAUGACACACUGCAUAUCAAUAAGCGGAGGAAAAGAAACUAACAAGGAUUCCCCUAGUAACGGCGAGUGAAGCGGGAAGAGCUCAAAUUUGAAAUCUUAAAGGGUUUCCCUUUACGAAUUGUAGUUUAAAGAAGUGUUUUCUGUUGGAGUUUCGGUAAAAGUUCUUUGGAAUAGGACAUCAUAGAGGGUGAGAAUCCCGUAUUUGACCGUUACUUUCCAGCUGUGUGAUACACUUUCAAAGAGUCGGAUUGUUUGGGAAUGCAGUCCAAAAUGGGUGGUAAAUUUCAUCUAAAGCUAAAUAUUGGCGAGAGACCGAUAGCGAACAAGUACCGUGAGGGAAAGAUGAAAAGAACUUUGAAAAGAGAGUUAAACAGUACGUGAAAUUGUCAAAAGGGAAGCGUUUGACACCAGUGUUGUUUAGUUGAAAAUCAAUUCAAUAAUUUUUGAUUUUGAGUAGUAUUGACUUCAUCAGCUUGCUGCUUUCUUUUCGGAAAUUAUUGAAUGCACUUUUCAGUUAACAAGUCAACAUCAAUUUCUUUUGUUGUAAAAGGGUAAGAGGAAGGUGGCUUACGCUUCGGCGUAAGUGUUUAUAGCCUUUUACCUCUGCAAUCGGAGAGAUUGAGGACAGCAGCGUAGACUCUUCGGGGUUAGAUACACUUGUGCUAAGCUAUAGCCUUGUAUAGACAACUUGUUGACUAUGCUCAGUCAUGUAGCUUACUCGCAUGUGCUAUUUUACCUACGCUUAGGAUGUUGAACUACUGAGACAUAGA